rnacentral:lncRNA from 1 species
UCAAAACAACGAAGAAGCCUCAGACGAAGAAAGCCAGCUAGAAGAAGAAGUUUCUUUCAUAAGGAAUCACUUGGCCAAUACAAUUAGUCAAAGAACAUAUUCCGUGCACCCAUAUUUGAAUGUGUUUGGAUGUUUGUAUUGGAAUUGGCUAGGUGGAUGGAGAAUUUAUUCAUUCUUUAGAGUGUUCAAUCUCAUAUCAUACAAAGAAGAUUUGCAUAAAGAUGUUGGACUUCACCGUCAGCUAGGAAGUCGAUGAUGCUGCAACGAGGGAGGUACGUGAGCUUAAGGAAUGAUCCUAGAAAUGUCGAUCUAAAGCAUGGGAUAAAGAUAGGAAAGAGAUCACUAGGGGAGAGAAUAUAGAAAAGUAUAGGAAAUGGGAUUUACAUGAUUUGGGAAGAGAUAUUCAUGGGAAGUUACAUGAGCAGCGAGAGAGACGUGGGCUGUAGAUAUAGAUAUGGGCUGUAGAUAGAGAUAGAUACAUGGGUUGAAGAGAGAGAGAGAGACGUAGGUUGUAGAGAGAGAGACAUUUUCUUUUAGUUUUUUUAUUUGGUAUUUAAGAUGGUUGACAUCCCAAUUAAAAGGGAUUUGAAUAUUUUUAGAGAGAG